rnacentral:rRNA from 1 species
GGGCUGCAGUAUUUUGACUGUACAAAGGUAGCAUAAUCAUUAGUCUCUUAAUUGGUGACUUGUAUGAAAGAUUGGAUGAGAUAUAUACUGUCUCUAAUUAAUUUGUAGAAUUUAAUUUUUUAGUAAAAAAGCUAAAAUAAAUUUAAAAGACGAGAAGACCCUAUAGAGUUUAAUAAUUUAUUUAAUUAUUAUUAAUAUAUAAUUUUUAAAAUUAAAAUUAAAUGAAAUAUUUUGUUGGGGUGAUAGAAAAAUUAAAUUAACUUUUUUAUAUUAUUUACAUUGAUUUAUGAAUAAGUGAUCCAUUAAUAAUGAUUAAAAGAAAAAAUUACCUUAGGGAUAACAGCGUAAUUUUUUUUUUUAGUUCAAAUAGUAAAAAAAGUUUGCGACCUCGAUGUUGGAUUAA